GAUCUGCUUUGCUCUCCCAGUUCGUUUUCUACACCACCCUAGGUACUUCAAAGCUAUGGAACAAGAACAAGGAAUGGCAGCCAAAAAUGGUGUGUGAAUCCGUAAAGUAUUACACAGUUAAAUGUGCCGAAUGUUCAUAUUAAUGGAAGCUCAUUCCAUCAAGGAGAAACACGAGAAAAAAACGGAGAAUUGAAAUAGCUCGUGAAUGGCGGCCCCACUAAGGGCUCGUAAAUUUCGUAAUUUGACCUUGUCUCAAGUAACCAUAAUUUACCCUUAAAAAUAGUUACGUGCACCUAAGAAGUUAUAAAUUCAACUAUGUUAUUGUUAACCAAGCCAAUUUACUAAUAUGUAUGAGAUUAUUAGCUAAAAGUUCCUUUAGGUGGUGUUUGCAAAUGAUUACUUAAAAGC